rnacentral:rRNA from 1 species
CAAACCAAAGCUGGCGACCGGCGAACGGGUGAGUAACACGUAUCCAACCUGCCGAUGACUCGGGGAUAGCCUUUCGAAAGAAAGAUUAAUACCCGAUGGCAUAGUUCUUCCGCAUGGUAGAACUAUUAAAGAAUUUCGGUCAUCGAUGGGGAUGCGUUCCAUUAGGUUGUUGGCGGGGUAACGGCCCACCAAGCCUUCGAUGGAUAGGGGUUCUGAGAGGAAGGUCCCCCACAUUGGAACUGAGACACGGUCCAA